rnacentral:rRNA from 1 species
UACGGGGGAUGCAAGCGUUAUCCGGAUUUAUUGGGCUUAAAGGGUGCGUAGGCUGUGAGGUAAGUCAGCGGUGAAAUGCCCCCGCUCAACGGGGUGAAGUGCCAUUGAUACUGCCUUGCUGGAAUGCGGAUGCCGUGGGAGGAAUGUGUGGUGUAGCGGUGAAAUGCAUAGAUAUCACACAGAACACCGAUUGCGAAGGCAUCUCACGAAUCCGCGAUUGACGCUGAUGCACGAAAGCGUGGGUAUCAAACAGG